GUCUGUUUGAGGUAGUAGGUUGUAUAGUAAGUAUUACACCUAUUGGGAGUGCUGUACAGCCUGCUAACUUUCCCAGAC
rnacentral:pre_miRNA from 1 species